rnacentral:sRNA from 12 species
CCCUGACAGUCACAUGGGGUGACUGACACUAGCCACGACAGGAGAUAACCAAUG